CACCACUAGCAGUUGAAGCUGCCAGCAUGAUCUAAUCUUCCUUUCUCCUCCUCCGUCGUCGUCGGAAGGCAAGAUCAGAUCAUGUGGUAGCUUCACCUGUUGAUGGC
rnacentral:pre_miRNA from 1 species